rnacentral:rRNA from 1 species
GACGAACGCUGGCGGCGUGCCUAACACAUGCAAGUCGAACGGAAAGGUCCUGCUUUUGUGGGGUGCUCGAGUGCCGAACGGGUGAGUAACACGUGAGUAACCUGUCCCUGUCUUUCGGGUAUCUUCAGGAAACUGCGGCUCUUAUCCCAUAUGAUCUCUUGCUGCAUGGUGUGCGUUGGAAAGUUUCGGCGGUUGGGGAUGUACUCGCGGCUUAUCAGCUUGAUGGUGGGGUAGUGGCUUACCAAGGCUUUGACGGGUAGCCGGCAUGAGAGGGGUACCGGGCACAAUAGGACGGAGAUAGGACACAGACUGGAACGGGACGCAAGGGUGGAGAAGAUGACACAGUAGGCGGGAGUAAGAUAUAAAAACGCCGCGAGCGGGAAGACGGGUUUCGGGGUGUAAACAGAUGUCGACUGAGACGAGGCGUGAGUGACGGUAAUGGGUAAAGAAGCACCGGCUAACUACGUG